CCUACGGGUGGCAGCAGUGAGGAAUAUUGGUCAAUGGGCGCGAGCCUGAACCAGCCAAGUCGCGUGAAGGAUGACUGCCCUAUGGGUUGUAAACUUCUUUUAUAAAGGAAUAAAGUGAGGCACGUGUGCCGUUUUGUAUGUACUUUAUGAAUAAGGAUCGGCUAACUCCGUGCCAGCAGCCGCGGUAAUACGGAGGAUCCGAGCGUUAUCCGGAUUUAUUGGGGUUAAAGGGAGCGUAGGUGGGUUGUUAAGUUAGUUGUGAAAGUUUGCGGCUCAACCGUAAAAUUGCAGUUGAUACUGGCAGCCUUGAGUACGGGUGAGGUAGGCGGAAUGCGUGGUGUAGCGGUGAAAUGCUUAGAUAUCACGAAGAACUCCGAUUGCGAAGGCAGCUUACUAAACUGCCACUGACAUUGAUGCUCGAAAGUGUGGGUAUCAAACAGGAUUAGAUACCCCUGUAGUC
rnacentral:rRNA from 1 species